rnacentral:rRNA from 1 species
GUGGGGAAUAUUGGACAAUGGGCGCAAGCCUGAUCCAGCCAUGCCGCGUGAGUGAUGAAGGCCUUAGGGUUGUAAAGCUCUUUCAGUGGGGACGAUAAUGACGGUACCCACAGAAGAAGCCCCGGCUAACUUCGUGCCAGCAGCCGCGGUAAUACGAAGGGGGCUAGCGUUGUUCGGAUUUACUUGGCGUAAAGCGCACGUAGGCGGAUCGUUAAGUCGGGGGUGAAAUCCUGGAGCGCAACUCCAGAACUGCCUUCGAUACGGGCGAGCGAGAGUCCGGAAGAGGUGAGUGGAACUCCUAGUGUAGAGGUGGAAUUCGUAGAUAUUAGGAAGAACACCAGUGGCGAAGGCGGCUCACUGGUCCGGUACUGACGCUGAGGUGCGAAAGCGUGGGGAGCAAACAGGAUUAGAAACCCCGGUAGUCC